AAUGAACGUUGGCGGCGUGGAUUAGGCAUGCAAGUCGCGCGAGAAAUUUCCUUCGGGAAAUGGACAGCGGCGGAAGGGAGAGGAAUAAGUAGAAAUCUGCCCUCGGGACGGGGGAUAGCGGUGGGAAACUGCCGGUAAUACCCGAUAACAUCUUUGGAUCAAAUGGUGUGAUUCCGCCUGAGGAUGAGUCUACUUCCUAUUAGCUAGUUGGUGGGGUAAUGGCCUACCAAGGCAACGAUGGGUAGCGGGUGUGAGAGCACGACCCGCCUCACUGGGACUGAGACACUGCCCAGACACCUACGGGUGGCUGCAGUCGAGAAUCUUCGGCAAUGGGGGAAACCCUGACCGAGCGACGCCGCGUGCGGGAUGAAGGCCCUUGGGUUGUAAACCGCUGUCGUAAGGGAACAAAUCCAUAGGGGUACUCCCUAUGGUUGAGUGAUCUUAGGAGGAAGGACGGGCUAAGUUCGUG
rnacentral:rRNA from 1 species